rnacentral:rRNA from 1 species
CCUACGGGAGGCAGCAGUGAGGAAUAUUGGUCAAUGGGCGGGAGCCUGAACCAGCCAAGCCGCGUGAGGGAAGAAGGUACAGCGUAUCGUAAACCUCUUUUGUCAGGGAACAAAGGCGGGGACUAGUCCCCGGAUGAGGGUACCUGAAGAAAAAGCAUCGGCUAAGCCGGUGCCAGCAGCCGCGGUAAUACGGAGGAGGCGAGCGUUAUCCGGAUUUAUUGGGGUUAAAGGGUGCGCAGGCGUCUUGUUACGUCAGCGGUAAAAGCCCGGGGCUAAACCCCGGCGAGCCUUUGCAACUGGCGGGCUGGAGUUGGAGAGAGGUACGUGGAAUGCGCGGUGUAGCGGUGAAAUGCUUAGAUAUCGCGCAGAACCCCGAUUGCGAAGGCAGCGUACCGACUCCACACUGACGCUGAGGCACGAAAGCGUGGGUAUCGAACAGGAUUAGAUACCCCUGUAGUC